GAUGAACGCUGGCGGCGUGCCUAAUACAUGCAAGUCGAGCGAACAGACGAGGAGCUUGCUCCUCUGACGUUAGCGGCGGACGGGUGAGUAACACGUGGAUAACCUACCUAUAAGACUGGGAUAACUUCGGGAAACCGGAGCUAACACCGGAUAAUAUAUUGAACCGCAUGGUUCAUUAGUGCAAGACGGAUUUGCUGUCACUAAUAGAUGGAUCCGCGCCGCAUUAGCUAGUUGGUAGGGUAACGGCUUACCAAGGCAACGAUGCGUAGCCGACCUGAGAGGGUGAUCGGCCACACUGGAACUGAGACACGGUCCAGACUCCUACGGGAGGCAGCAGUGGGGAAUCUUCCGCAAAGGGCGAAAGCCUGACGGAGCAACGCCGCGUGAGUGAUGAAGGUCUUCGGAUCGUAAAACUCUGUUAUUAGGGAGGAACAAAUGUGUAAGAAACUAUGCACGUCUUGACGGUACCUAAUCAGAAAGCCACGGCUAACUACGUG
rnacentral:rRNA from 1 species